rnacentral:rRNA from 1 species
GAUGAACGCUGGCGGCGUGCCUAAUACAUGCAAGUCGAGCGAACGGACGAGAAGCUUUCUUCUCUGAUGUUAGCGGCGGACGGGUGAGUAACACGUGGAUAACCUACCUAUAAGACUGGGAUAACUUCGGGAAACCGGAGCUAAUACCGGCUAAUAUUUUGAACCGCAUGGUUCAAAAGUGAAAGACGUUCUUGCUGUCACUUAUAGAUGGAUCCGCGCUGCAUUAGCUAGUUGGUAAGGUAACGGCUUACCAAGGCAACGAUGCAUAGCCGACCUGAGAGGGUGAUCGGCCACACUGGAACUGAGACACGGUCCAGACUCCUACGGGAGGCAGCAGUAGGGAAUCUUCCGAAAUGGGCGAAAGCCUGACGGAGCAACGCCGCGUGAGUGAUGAAGGUCUUCGGAUCGUAAAACUCUGUUAUUAGGGAAGAACAUAUGUGUAAGUAACUGUGCACAUCUUGACGGUACCUAAUCAGAAAGCCACGGCUAACUACGUG